AGUGGCGACCGGCGCACGGGUGAGUAACGCGUAUCCAACCUCCUAUAGUAGGGGAUAGCCCGGCGAAAGUCGGAUUAAUACCCUAUGUUCUUCAUAGAUGACAUCUGAAAUGAAGCAAAGGUUUACCGCUAUAGGAUGGGGGAUGCGUCUGAUUAGCUUGUUGGCGGGGUAACGGCCCACCAAGGCUACGAUCAGUAGGGGUUCUGAGAGGAAGGUCCCCCACAUUGGUACUGAGACACGGACCAAACUCCUACGGGAGGCAGCAGUGAGGAAUAUUGGUCAAUGGGCGAGAGCCUGAACCAGCCAAGUAGCGUGCAGGAUGACUGCCCUAUGGGUUGUAAACUGCUUUUAUAGGGAAUAAAGUGAGGAACGUGUUCCUUUUGUAUGUACCCUAUGAAUAAGGACCGGCUAAUUCCGUGCCAGCCGCAGC
rnacentral:rRNA from 1 species